CUCCUUUGUCUCGUAACCGUACUCUUUAGCUUUCUCCUUGGUGCUCUCCACCGUCUCCGCUGCUCUAUUCGUUCCCUCUUUCGCCUUCUCCUCCAUAGUCCCAGCUGCGCUCUUCGUAUUCUCCUCCAUAGUCUCAGCUGCGCUCUUCGUCUUAUCCUUUGCUUCCUGCGCGUAAUCCUUGGUCGUCUCUUUCAUUUCCUCGGCUUUUCGCUUCGUGUUUUCUAGGCCUUCUCCCAUGGUUUCUUUCGCUUUGUCAUAUCCCUUGUUCUCCCCGGCCGCAUUUC
rnacentral:lncRNA from 1 species